GAUUUGACGAUGCAGCAUAUGAUGAUGAUGAGGCGUCGUCAUCCUUAAGCUGAUGCUCUUCAUAGACUUGUGUCCCACAGCUACUGAUGAAUAGCAUUUAUAAUAAUGCCUGGAAAACUGCCUCUGGACAAAAGAAGCUAUGGCGUGCAGAUGUGCAAAUUUGCUUUGAAUUAUUUUGCAUUUUUAUAUUUGACGUGUUAUUUAAGAUACAUUUUCAAUUACUGAUUUACUUUACAUCCUUUUUUUUUAUUCCAGUGUUAUUGUGGGUGUGGAUCUUUUUUUCCAUCCUCAGCCUUCAGUUGAGAGGAGUCGUGAGUUGACAUCCACGGUUGAAAAGUGGAAGGUUCAAAGACCAGGGAGGAAGCUUUGGUGCAUGCGCAGAACGCCUAAUCCGACUCCAGUCUGACUAAGUGUAUUCAUGCGGGAGUAAUCGGACUAUGAAUCGCAUUAUCCAGGUUUAUGCUGCCAGAGCAUUGCCAGCUUCAAAGUACAGGUCAAGUAUCUACAAGUGCAUGUCCCUUAUCUACAACUUUGAUAAGCUACACGUGGCAAACACAACAACCUGCUGCAGCUCCAGUGUAAAGCAAACACAGUGCUGUGUUUGUGGCAGGACGACCUGUGAUGUGGACAUGGCAGGAUGAUAGCACCA